AUGAAGCUCUCAGAUGCAGAGAAGAAAGAAAUCAAGAUUGGACGAAGGAACACAAACCUAGCAGGGUCAGAGAAGCCACAAGCUAUUGGUAAAUUGAUGUCUGACAGACCUGCGCCGAAGGAGGCCCUAGAGAGCACCUUGGGAAGGAUUUGGUCUCCGUUCAAAGGAGUGGAGUGCAAGAACCUAGGUAUGAAUCGAUUUUUGUUCUCAUUCCGAGAUGAAGCAGGGAAACUUAAGGCGUUGAAUGACAGACCUUGGACUUUCAAUAAGAGGUUUCUGGUUGUUGAAGAUUUUGAUCCAGCAAAAACGCUCAAUGAGUACGAGUUCAAGAAAAUUCCUAUUUGGGUAAGACUUCAUGGUAUUCCUAUGGGAUCGAUGUAUAGGGAGUCAGGUGAAGCCAUAGGGAAGGAAAUUGGGGAGGUGCUAGAUGUUGAUGUAGAUGAAUGUGGCAUGGCAGCAGGAGAGUUUAUGCGGGUGAAAGUCCGGCUAGAUAUCACAAAACCUUUGAUGAGGGGUAUUACUAUCUUCCUGGAAGAUGAUGAGGAGGAAAGGCAAGACAAAGAGAUGACAGGCGAAGAAAAGAACAAUGAACAGAAGGGGAAAGAGAUUUUAUUUACAUAUGAACACUUGCCGGACUUCUGCUAUAUUUGCGGCGUCAUCGGCCACAAUGAUAGAGGCUGUCCAAAUAAACAGAACCUGGGAGUUGGGCAUGAAUUUGGAUCGUGGCUCAAGGCAGAAGACUGGGGAAGGAGGCCAAGUGAGGAGGAUAGGAGCAGGAACUCUCGAGAUAAAUGGGGUUUUGGAAAGAAUAGUACUGGAGGCAACAGGGGUAGCGAUGCAAUUACGUGGAGGAAGAAUUCAUUUGAUGGUGAAGGAGUGGGGGUCUCAGGUAAGAGGGAGGAAAAGGAAGCAACCAGCCCACUAAAUAAACAAGCAAAUGAGGAAGAGGUAGAAUCUGGAGGAAAGAAAUUUCUUUUGGAAGGGAUUCCGAGUGAAAGGAUUGUAUAG
rnacentral:rRNA from 1 species